CCAGAGUACCACGGGACACGUGAAACCCUGUGGGAAGCAGGAGGGACCACCCUCCAAGGCUAAAUACUACCUAGUGACCGAUAGCGUAUAGUACCGUGAGGGAAAGGUGAAAAGAACCCCGGGCGGGGAGUGAAAUAGAACCUGAAACCCUGCACUUACAAGCUGUGGAAGCACAUUUCUUGUGUGACCGCGUACUUUUUGUAGAACGGGCCAACGAGUUACGUUAAGUAGCAAGGUUAAGCACUUAAGGUGUGGAGC
rnacentral:rRNA from 1 species